AUACGUAUGUCGCAAGCGUUAUCCGGAUUUAUUGGGCGUAAAGCGCGUCUAGGCGGCUUAGUAAGUCUGAUGUGAAAAUGCGGGGCUCCACCCCGUAUUGCGUUGGAAACUGCUAAACUAGAGUACUGGAGAGGUAGGCGGAACUACAAGUGUAGAGGUGAAAUUCGUAGAUAUUUGUAGGAAUGCCGAUGGGGAAGCCAGCCUACUGGACAGAUACUGACGCUAAAGCGCGAAAGCGUGGGUAGCAAACAGGAUUAGAUACCCUGGUAGUCCACGCCGUAAACGAUGAUUACUAGGUGUUGGGGGUCGAACCUCAGCGCCCAAGCUAACGCGAUAAGUAAUCCGCCUGGGGAGUACGUACGCAAGUAUGAAACUCAAAGGAAUUGACGGGG
rnacentral:rRNA from 1 species